rnacentral:rRNA from 1 species
CCUACGGGAGGCAGCAGUGGGGAAUAUUGCUCAAUGGGCGAAACCCUGAUGCAGCCACGCCGCGUGAGUGAAGAAGUAUUUCGGUGUGUAAAGCUCUAUCAGCAGGGAAGAAGAUGACGGUACCUGAGUAAGAAUCCCCGGCUAAAUACGUGCCAGCAACCGCUGUAUCACGUAGGGGCAACGCGUUAUCCUGUUUUACUGGGUGUAAAGGGAGCGUAGACGGCAGGACAAGUCUCGAGUGAAAUCCCCGGGCUGAACCCCGGAACUGCUUUUGAAACUGGGCGGCUGGAGUGUGGGAGAGGUAAGCGGAAUGCCUGGUGUAGCGGUGAAAUGCGUAGAUAUUAGGAGGAACACCAGUGGCGAAGGCGGCUUACUGG